ensembl:Mt_tRNA
GCUGACGUGGCAGAGCCCGGUAAUUGCAAAAGAUCUAAGCCCUUUAGACCAGAGGUUCAAAUCCUCUCCUCAGCU